AUUGUAACACCGCUGUGUAUCCUAAACGGGCUUUACAGCGGUUAUUCUUGAUAAGUACUAGGAGUGAAUAGUGGCCCGUAUUGCAGGCAUUAACAUUCCUGAU
rfam:Photobacterium halotolerans strain S2753 contig0016, whole genome shotgun sequence.